rnacentral:lncRNA from 10 species
CCUUACUAGAGAGCUGCCAGAUGAGGGUGGAUAACAGCCUCAGUUUUCAGAUGAGGAAGCUGAGGCUCAGAAAAGUUAAAUAACCUGCUAAAGAGCUAGCAAGAGGCAAACCAGUAUUCCAAACCAAGUCCAUGUGAACACCUAAUCUGUGUAGUGCCCUGGGGAGGAGGAAAGGCAGCAGGAAAUUUGAAGACCUGAAGGGGCAGACUUUGGGUGGAACCAGACCUAUGGUGGGUCUCCUCAGAUACAGCAGAGGACACUGGACAGGCCUCACAGUGGAAGCCGGGCAUGGUGUUGAUGCAGCUGGAGCCCGGGAAACAGGGGUCAGCGUGAGCACACUGGGGACCAGAUGAGAAGGCAGAGGGACAUUUCCUUCACCUGGAGAAGGAUGGGGAGGAGUCAGCACUUGACAUCUGCCACCCUACCCCAGAAUCAGUGCCACCCUUCGCCAGCCCACCCAAACCUGGUCUCGUAUAUCAUCCCGCAGCUCCACCAGGAUCUGGUUGAAGAGGAACUCAGAGGCUCCUCCCGGCUCACCUGCAUCCUCAAAUACGCCUUCUGUCCAGUCCUAAUCUCCAGCCCAUCGACCUCCGCUGGAGGAAUGGGGGCCAGUGCUGGAAGGCCUGCAUGUUGGUCACCCAGUUUGCAGUCCACGUAGAGAUGUAGGGCAGGGCUGGGUCUGGAGGGACCUCGGAGUCGCAGGAGAACUGUGUGUGUGCGCCCAUCAGCCAGGCCCGCUUGCUGUAGGUUCACGGCGUGGACUUUGCCAUCCUCCCGCUGGUAUCGCACCAGUACUGCCCAGGAGGGGAGAUCAGUAUGGGCGCUAUCCCCCACCCCCUGCCUCC